rnacentral:rRNA from 1 species
UACGUAGGGUGCGAGCGUUGUCCGGAAUUAUUGGGCGUAAAGGGCUCGUAGGCGGUUUGUCGCGUCGGGAGUGAAAACUCGGGGCUCAACCCCGAGCCUGCAGUCGAUACGGGCAGACUAGAGUGCGGUAGGGGAGACUGGAAUUCCUGGUGUAGCGGUGAAAUGCGCAGAUAUCAGGAGGAACACCGGCGGCGAAGGCGGGUCUCUGGGCCGUAACUGACGCUGAGGAGCGAAAGCGUGGGGAGCGAACAGG